rnacentral:tRNA from 1 species
GUCCCUGUAGCUCAGCGGAUAGAGCAUUCGCCUUCUAAGCGAAGAGUCGGGAGUUCGAAUCUCUCCAGGGACG